rnacentral:rRNA from 1 species
AGCCCGCUCGCCGGAAGACCAAGGGUUCCUGUCCAACGUUAAUCGGGGCAGGGUGAGUCGACCCCUAAGGCGAGGCCGAAAGGCGUAGUCGAUGGGAAACAGGUUAAUAUUCCUGUACUUGGUGUUACUGCGAAGGGGGGACGGAGAAGGCUAUGUUGGCCGGGCGACGGUUGUCCCGGUUUAAGCGUGUAGGCUGGUUUUCCAGGCAAAUCCGGAAAACCAAGGCUGAGGCGUGAUGACGAGGCACUACGGUGCUGAAGCGACAAAUGCCCUGCUUCCAGGAAAAGCCUCUAAGCAUCAGGUAACAUCAAAUCGUACCCCAAACCGACACAGGUGGUCAGGUAGAGAAUACCAAGGCGCUUGAGAGAACUCGGGUGAAGGAACUAGGCAAAAUGGUGCCGUAACUUCGGGAGAAGGCACGCUGAUAUGUAGGUGAAGCGACUUGCUCGUGGAGCUGAAAUCAGUCGAAGAUACCAGCUGGCUGCAACUGUUUAUUAAAAACACAGCACUGUGCAAACACGAAAGUGGACGUAUACGGUGUGACGCCUGCCCGGUGCCGGAAGGUUAAUUGAUGGGGUUAGCGGUAACGCGAAGCUCUUGAUCGAAGCCCCGGUAAACGGCGGCCGUAACUAUAACGGUCCUAAGGUAGCGAAAUUCCUUGUCGGGUAAGUUCCGACCUGCACGAAUGGCGUAAUGAUGGCCAGGCUGUCUCCACCCGAGACUCAGUGAAAUUGAACUCGCUGUGAAGAUGCAGUGUACCCGCGGCAAGACGGAAAGACCCCGUGAACCUUUACUAUAGCUUGACACUGAACAUUGAGCCUUGAUGUGUAGGAUAGGUGGGAGGCUUUGAAGUGUGGACGCCAGUCUGCAUGGAGCCGACCUUGAAAUACCACCCUUUAAUGUUUGAUGUUCUAACGUUGGCCCGUAAUCCGGGUUGCGGACAGUGUCUGGUGGGUAGUUUGACUGGGGCGGUCUCCUCCUAAAGAGUAACGGAGGAGCACGAAGGUUGGCUAAUCCUGGUCGGACAUCAGGAGGUUAGUGCAAUGGCAUAAGCCAGCUUGACUGCGAGCGUGACGGCGCGAGCAGGUGCGAAAGCAGGUCAUAGUGAUCCGGUGGUUCUGAAUGGAAGGGCCAUCGCUCAACGGAUAAAAGGUACUCCGGGGAUAACAGGCUGAUACCGCCCAAGAGUUCAUAUCGACGGCGGUGUUUGGCACCUCGAUGUCGGCUCAUCACAUCCUGGGGCUGAAGUAGGUCCCAAGGGUAUGGCUGUUCGCCAUUUAAAGUGGUACGCGAGCUGGGUUUAGAACGUCGUGAGACAGUUCGGUCCCUAUCUGCCGUGGGCGCUGGAGAACUGAGGGGGGCUGCUCCUAGUACGAGAGGACCGGAGUGGACGCAUCACUGGUGUUCGGGUUGUCAUGCCAAUGGCACUGCCCGGUAGCUAAAUGCGGAAGAGAUAAGUGCUGAAAGCAUCUAAGCACGAAACUUGCCCCGAGAUGAGUUCUCCCUGAGACUUAGAGUCUCCUGAAGGAACGUUGAAGACGACGACGUUGAUAGGCCGGGUGUGUAAGCGCAGCGAUGCGUUGAGCUAACCGGUACUAAUGAACCGUGAGGCUUAACC